rnacentral:rRNA from 1 species
UACGUAGGGUGCAAGCGUUAAUCGGAAUUACUGGGCGUAAAGCGUGCGCAGGCGGUUGUGCAAGACAGAUGUGAAAUCCCCGGGCUCAACCUGGGAACUGCAUUUGUGACUGCACAGCUUGAGUGCGGCAGAGGGGGAUGGAAUUCCGCGUGUAGCAGUGAAAUGCGUAGAUAUGCGGAGGAACACCGAUGGCGAAGGCAAUCCCCUGGGCCUGCACUGACGCCCAUGCACGAAAGCGUGGGGAGCAAACAGG